rnacentral:rRNA from 1 species
AUACGGAGGGAGCAAGCGUUACUCGGAAUCACUGGGCGUAAAGCGCGCGCAGGCGGUCUUUUAAGUUGGAUGUGAAAGCCUACGGCUCAACCGUAGAACUGCAUCCAAAACUAUUAGACUAGAGUGUGGGAGAGGAAGAUGGAAUUAGUUGUGUAGGAGUAAAAUCCGUAGAGAUAACUAGGAAUACCAAAAGCGAAGGAAAUCUUCUGGAACACUACUGACGCUGAGGCGCGAAAGCGUGGGGAGCAAACAGGAUUAGAAACCCGUGUAGUCC